GAACCUGCGGAAGGAUCAUUGA
rnacentral:rRNA from 3 species